GAUGAAGAACGUAGUGAAAUGCGAUAAGUAAUGUGAAUUGCAGAAUUCAGUGAAUCAUCGAAUCUUUGAACGCACAUUGCGCCCGUCAGUAUUCUGGCGGGCAUGCCUGUUCGAGCGUCAUUACGCCCCUCAAGUCCCCUGUGGACUUGGUGUUGGGGAUCGGCGAGGCUGGUUUUCAAGCACAGCCGUCCCUUAAAUUAAUUGGCGGUCUCGCCGUGGCCCUCCUCUGCGCAGUAGUAAAACACUCGCAACAGGAGCCCGGCGCGGUCCACUGCCGUAAAACCCCCCAACUUUUUAUAGUUGACCUCGAAUCAGGUAGGACUACCCGCUGAACUUAAGCAUAUCAAUAAGCGGAGGA
rnacentral:misc_RNA from 1 species